rnacentral:misc_RNA from 1 species
UCCGGUUUGUCACCGGCAGUCCCAUUAGAGUGCUCAACUGAAUGUAGCAACUAAUGGCAAGGGUUGCGCUCGUUGCGGGACUUAACCCAACAUCUCACGACACGAGCUGACGACAGCCAUGCAGCACCUGUGUCCAGGUUCCCUUUCGGGCACCCCUGCAUUUCUGCAGGGUUCCUGGCAUGUCAAGGGUAGGUAAGGUGGGGAUGACGUGUCCUUGAUAGG